CCUCAGCGCUGAAGUCCAACCCCUCCCAUCUGAGAGCACUGGAUCUGGGUAACAACAACCUGCAAGAUUCAGAUGUGAAGCUACUGUCUGAUUUUAAGAAGAAUCCACACUGUAGACUGGAGUAUCUGAGAUGGAAGUGAUGAUCUCUGUUAGAGUGUGAGUGAACAUCCAAGGAGUGAGUGUUGAGAGAGGAUCAGCUGUAUCCUGAUGAUCCAUCUGGACUGGAGUCCGGAUCUGGAUUUGUCAUCUUCACUUAAGUCUUUUAACUGACUACAACCUGAACAGUUAAAUCUGGAUUUUGUUGAAGUCAGCACUUUACAAAUUUGUUGUACAUGAGCUUCUUGAUGCAGAAAAGAUAAAAAAGGGUGUUAUAAGUCAGACUCUGACCCUAUUUUAUCAGGCAUCUCAGAAUCACACUGAGAGUUAAUGAGUACUAAAACUAAUUUAUGAAGCAGAAGAGAAUUUACUCUGACUUUCAGCAGGAGAAGUAGUACUCCUGGGAGAGAGUAACAUAUCACUGUUUUACCACAGUCAGAGCAGCAAUGUAGAGAUAAUGAUGAUGUGUUGUAGUUUUCUCACAGUCUCGACCGAAAAUAUUAAACAGUGGUAAUUUGGUGUAUUAUGCUUAUAGGCAGGUAACCAGACAGGUAACUUACCAAGGUUAUGUAACAAAACCAUGAUGGCAAAAUUCAUUAUAAGAUGAUAUUUACAAACUGUAAAGAAAGUCUGAGAGAUAAAUGUAGCCUAUAUUUUAAUUAAGAUAACAGGUAAUUUCACUCAGCUGCGUGAAAUGAUCUUGGUUCAGCCAUAUGGUUUCAUAGCCUGUAAUAGUGCUGCAUCUUGCACAUAUUGAACAGACACAUGUUGCAAACCCUCUCCAUGAACAUCUUCUCUUCCAUUGUCCAAUUCCUCUUUCAACUACACCCCAAGUUAACUUCUGUUCUCUACAUGAAGGUAAAUACACUUUAACAAUAUAACCAUGUAUUUUUAACGUGUUUCACUGCCAUAAAUACUCUUGAGAACAAGAAACAUUAAAGAGGGAAAUCAGCAAGCUUGGAGUGGAAGAAAUUAGUCUGAAAAUGUGUUAGGGUGUCUAUUCCAUUGUUUGAAAAAAACUGGGCUGAUCAAAAGAAUUUAGUGUUAAUUUUCAAUAUGCAAGAGUGUUUGUAGCUUUGCAUCUAUGACACACUGUGUCCUUGUUUUGUUUCAUUUACUUAAAUAAAGAUUAAACAUGACAAUCAA